GGGGAUGAGGAGGAAGCUAAUGAGGGGAGCCAGGUGACCAGAAAGGUUUUCCAGAGUUUUCUGGGACGAAAGGCGGGACUUGGGGUGGCCGUUGGGCGCUUCCUCGCUUCAAAAGGCAGAGUUUUUCUUGAACUGCUCCCGAAGGAGAGGAAGAGAGGCGGCAGGAGUGGCUUUCCAGGGGCGCCUGGACGCUGCCCUGGUCGGCUGCAAACCUCGCCGGGAGGAAGGCGAGGAAGCCGGGCGUGAGGUGGGCCCUGGGCGGAGAAGGAGCCUGCUGAAGGGCCGGGCAGGCCCCUGUGCAGUGUGCGGAGCACCCAGAGCUCGGGCGUCCGGUCGCCAUCCGAUCCUGAGCGAGCGGCGUUUAAUUUCAGAAAGUUUAGGGAAGUCUCCUUCACGGAAUGUCAGUGUUGGAUGUGUCUCCCUUUGGUGGGGCACCUUUAGCUUGUGUGCUCAGCCUAGCGCGUUCAGAGCACGUCAUUAGCCCACCAUCUAUACUUGUGCAAGUACUUUAGCCAAGGGGAGUGGUGCCUGGUGUAGUGUGCCAUAGGAAGUCUCCAAACGCGAGUGCUGACUUGCUAGAACGCGGCGGGCAGACUUAAUCGACUUUUUCCUAAGUUACACAUGUAAAAAUACUUCCCCUGUUUGGAAGGGUCAUGGUAGCACUGAGCAGUCUUCCGCUAAAGGCAAGACCAUGAGUUCCCAGUUGGUCCUCAGACGUGUUUGCCUUUCUGUCUAUGAGUGUGUGUUGAAUUUUUAGGUUUUUUUUUUUCUUUCUGUUAAAAUGUCCAUUAGUCUUAGUGCCGGCUGUUUGUUUGUUGAAAUUCUGUUUAAGAUUAGAGCUUGGGUGGAGGUAGCAGAUAUGAAGCGUCUUGAGUUUACCUGAUCCAUGGUGUUUUGAGUGAAUUUGACAAAUGC
rnacentral:lncRNA from 1 species